AGGGCCUCAGCUACUACAAUCAAACUACAGAUGCUUGUGCCAUCUAGUGGACCUUCUCUGGGAACAUGCUAACCGCCUUCUUCCCCAAGCACCAGAGGGAGCUACAACUUUCUCACUUAACCCUGGAGAUCAAGUCGACCUGAAGCAAUCUUACCCACAGAGCCUCAAGCGACUCUGGACUGGACCUCACCUGGUGAUCCUAACCACCCCGCAGCCGCAAAGUUCCACGGCAUCCCCAACUGGAUCCAUCUAUCACAGCUAAAGAGAGUCAAGCCACCUCCAUCCAACCCUACCUCGUCCUGGGCUAAGGUGCGUGGAGCCCAUCCCCCUCGCCUUCUCUGUAAUAGAUGCUGCCAGCGACUGCCCUGAAGCCAGCUCAAUACAGGGAUGAUAUGAAAGAAGUCUCUGCUUCACUCAGGACCAAGUCGUAACAGCAUGCUACACUGGCUGUUGGGGGGUACUCACUACCAAUCUCCCCAUCCUGUCGGUACCAUUACAUUCACCCAACCAAAUCCUAUGGCAUCCAACCACCCCAGUUCAAAUCUCAGGGGGUACUCACAAUUUUUUCCUUCACAGACUCAUGGGACCAAAAGUGGGUAGAUGGGAUGGUCGGGGUGGCGACCCACUCCACUAUGGACUCUGGCUAUGGGGGCCUAACAGAAAUAUUUAGAUCCACUCAAAAUGCCCCUAAGACCACCCCAAACACCACAUCAAACACGCUCAUGGCAAGCUCCUGGAAGACCUGUGUGGUCUAACCUUUUCCAUCACCCCCAGAUGUCCAUCCUUAAUUCUUCUCUCUCCUUCCUCAAUCAACUCAGUCUUACCAUUCACACUGCCUGCUUCCUGUGCGCUUCCCUUGAGCACCCCCUCAUUACUGCAGUCCCCUGUUCAAUGUCACCUCUGCUUCAGACACUGUCUGCGUCUGGUGUCCUCUCCAAGCUCCCUAUCCCACUGUCUCUUCUGAGCUGCCUUGAUGGCCUGCAUAAGGACAUCUCUCAGUGCUGGUUGGGAGCUUUCAGGAAUAACUCUACUGUGACAAACCACACCUUACCUAAGGGAACUUAUUUCUGGUGUGGCUCCAUGCUGUAUACCUGCAUCUUUCUGAGACUGCACACCGGCCCUUGCACCCCAGUCACUCUGGUACCCAGCCUCACCACGUACACGGAGGGAGAGCUGGAAGUCUUCUUCCUAGGCGGGCUCAGCAUUACAAAAGAGCUGUCCACUUGCCUGUGAUACAGGAAUAAGUCUGGAAGCCUCCACAGCUGCCACAGGACUGGCUGCAGGAGGCCUGUGCUAUAGCCUCAUCUCCUACGAAAGGCUUUCUACAGAACUGAGCGUUGCAGUCCGGGGAUCCACCGAGGCCCUGAGACUGCUGCAGGAGCAACUUACUUCUGCGGCCUCAGCUGUGCUACAGAACUGCUGAGCCCUACGUUUCUUGACAGCGGACAAAGGAGGGACCUGCCUUUUCUGAAUGAAGAAUGCUGUUAAUAUGUUAACCAAUCAGGCAAGGUAGAGGUAGAAAUUAAAAAACUGAAAAAUCUGGCUGGCCAGUUUCAGGUAUAAACGCCAAUUCCCUGUGAGUCAUGGAACAUCUUUGGGGUGGUCUGGCCCUGGCUUUUUGCCAAUCUUGGGGCCUAUAUCUGGACUAUUCUUGCUACUUGCCCUGGCCCCCUUACCUUCUGAGAUGCAUCCAAAAUCAGGUGGACCAGUUCACCCACCUAAGAUUCAACCAACUUUUAUUGACCUGUCCAUUCUUUAUCUCCUACAGGCCUUUAGACCCUGAGGAACUGUGUACUCAUCACCUGCCUUGGAGGGACACCCAUUGACCGCAUUAUCCAGCCUCUCCUAUAAGAGCUCAUCGCCCCCUACAGUCAGCAUGAAGAUACUACAGAAGAAAAAACCAUGGUCCUUUGUCAUUAACAAAAGGCUGGAAUGUUAGGUCAGGAUGGGCUCGCCAAAUGGAGUCACCAAAGACAGCAGGAUGGUGACAGACACAAGGAAGUGGGUCGUCCACAUUCCCCAAGAAACCGCCCAGUCGUGUUCCUUUCCUUGUCUAACAAUGUCCCUUCCCCAGGUCAUGAUUUCCUGUAAGUCACCUGGUCACUGUUCUGGUGUCACACCUUAGAUCUCCUCUAAAAAAGCCUUUUUUUUUAUUCAAGUUUUCAGUUCCUUGCCUUCCCCCCACUGAAGAGCCCCAUAAAGCGCCUUAUCUGGAGUCUCAGGUUGGCUGUGCUCCGCU